CUUAGGUGGAAAGGGGAGGAUUAUAAAAGAGGAGGAAUCUUGAGGAUUCUGAAGAAGGAGGUCCCUGGGGAGAGAGAAUCACUGCUGUGAGGUCUCUGGAACGUGUUUUGUGCUGUGGAGUGUGUGAAGUUCAUGCAGGACUUGUGGAGCUCCUGGAUGACCUGGCUUCCCUGAGGCUCACAGAAAGAAAGACCGUUUUAAUUCUUUCACGUUUUCCUCUGCUGGCUGGAUCUGCCUCCUCCUUGGUGCCUGCUGCGAAGGGAAGGGCCCAGACACGAGGCCGGCUGCCUGGCACUGCACUAAUCCCAUGAUUCUACAUGAUCUGAAUGCCAAAAGCAGAGAACCCCGAAGUUAAUCAUUGCUCAUGAUGACUGACUCAGCCUCUCUAAUCCUUUUCCAUCCCCAGUCCUUGUCACCGUGCCGCUUGACCUGCUUCCUCAGGGCUGUGCUGUGUUGUGUGCCUGCCACGCAUUGCAGCGCAGUCCCAGGAGGGGAAAUCGUUCUGAAUGCUUCAAGUUCACACCAAAAGAAUCUGGGAAGAGGGAUGGUGGCUUUGAGCUCCCUGGACUUAAAACUUGGCAUCUCAUGCGGUUGCUCACCACUCCCUCACUGCACUUGCAGCAGAACCACUUCACCUUUCAAGCAGGGAGGAGGACCCAGAUCCAGACAAAAUUUUUGUGCUCAGGAGUUUUGCCUACAGCACCAGGAGUAGAGCUGCACUCUCCUGCCACCACCACACCCGUUCUGAAUCUGCAGGAGGUCUGUUUUAUUUCCUUUCAUGGCCUUGGUCGGGCAGAGCGAUAAGGGCAGCAGAACACUGCUGGGUGACUGACGUUUGUACUGCUCUUCACUGAGGAUGGAGGCUGUGCAUCCCUCAGCUCACCCACCUCUAGUACAUCCUGUUACAGAAAGAAAUUGAAUUAUGUGUUUUGCUCCUGCUUUGGUCACCUUGUAUAUUACACGGAAGAAAUUAAACGUGCCAAUACUUGAAAGAGUAAAUGAAACACAAAUUUGGCCUUUGUAAAAAAAUCCUGUGAGCUGAUAUGCUGAUUUCUAACAGUUUUCCUCUGCUCUUGCAGGGUCCCCCUCUUGUGCAGAAGGGACCAGGUAUUUAUAAAUUACCAGCAAGGCAAAAUAAAGUACAGAACUAUAAACCACAGGAUCAUGCUGCUGGCAUUUCCAGUUUAGAGUAGUAAAAAAAAAAAAAUCUCGAUUUUAGUUCCUUAGAGCAUCCAGCUGGUGGUGCCAAAUAGUAACUGCAAAGGACUUUUCUUCUGUAUUUUGAAUGCUCGGAAUACAAACUGUUUGGAUAAAGGCUUAGACUCGUUUUAGCAACUGUCCCUCUCACUCGCAGUGAACUUAGCAGGUCAGCUUCUAAAAGUCAACUGUUGUGUGUUUAUGCCUCACACCAAGGGAGAUGACCCCUUCUGCUCUGAUUUAUUUGAAAGCUCACUCCGUGCACGUGCUGCAGAAGAUGUAUAGACAUGUGCAUGAUCAUAAGCAGCGGAAGAUCAGGCCCAGGACAUUUUGGCCUGGCAUGAUAUGUUUAUUACUUCAUAAAUCACAGGAAAGCUUAAGAACACAUACACCUGUUUCCCUGGGUGCUGAGAAGUAUCUCUGUACCUGGCAUUUAUGACUUACGUGCCCUGAUGUCCUGUCAGGGCCCUUUGAGUCCAGCCUGCUGAUGAGUCAGCUUGUGACCUUCUUUUUCUGCGAAGUUCAGUAGUUAAAAGUAUUUAGCUUGGAAGAAGAUACCUGUUUUCAAAUUUAAAAAGCGGGGAGGGCAAGGGGGAAGCGGCAAAGGAACACCGUGUUACGUUUCAUUGGCCGAACAGUGACCUAUAAAAUGUGCUGGUGAGAACAGAAAAUGUGAUGCACCAUUGGCUGCAGCCACAGUUUGUUUUCAUUCUUUUUGCUAUUUGAUUAUAAGGGUUAGAGCAGGGGGAAGGGAGUGCUAGCCUGAAGUGCUACCUUUCCCGUGGCUCCCUGCCACCUGAGUCGGUGCCCAUUUGAAAGGGUCGAGUUCCUUGCUGCCAGGCACGAGGCAAUGAGGAAUAAACCCCAGGAGGGCUGGUUUUCACAGCAGGUCCUACUGGCAGGUAUUUCAGGGAGUGUUUUGCCCUGUUCUGCAGGGUGCCACUGCUCCCAGGGGCCUCCUGCUCCCCGCUGAGAGGUUGCACCAGCCUGCUGCUUGCACAAGGCACGUUCUGCUGAGGGAGCCCGAGCAGGAGGCAGAGCGUGAGUGUCACCAGGCAGGGCAGGGAAGGUGUCAGAAGGGUGAGUCAGGCCGAGAGGGACGUGGAGAGUGACACAACCCAGUCAUGCAGCCUUCACCUGGACUCCAGAACUGCUGCACUCGUGGCCGAUGCAGUUCAUGCGGGCACUGUGACAGUCAUUUCCCAGAGAGCAGUUUCCACACCUUUGGCCACUGAGAGAGAGCAAGAAAAUGGUAUUUGCUGAGCAAACACUGAGAAGGACCUGACUCCAAAGGCAUAAGAUUCCCACUUUCCCCUUUUCCAAAGUCAUUCCUUACUUGAUUCCAGGUAUGAAGGCACUUCAGUUCGGGUGUUUACGGUAAAAUCAUGACACGAAAAGCAGUAUCGAUUAUAUUGUAAAGAAAAGGGUUGUGUAUAAUUUCUGGUGCAGUAAAAUCAUUCAGUGCCAUUGGUUUGCUCAGUGUUUUAAAAACGCACUGUGCAGCAGAGAUAUCAGAAGAACAGCUCGCUCUGUUCUGAGAUCACGUGUCCAACAAGUGUGACUUCGUGUUGUGCUGAGGCAUACGUCACAAAAUCUCCCAAAGUGUUCCCUGUGCCGCUCUGGAAGCAGAUGAUUUUACUCAGACUCUUCAAGAAAAUGAAAUCCUCCUCAAAGAAUUAAGCCCGAACAUUCUGCAAGGGUUUCGAAAGCCGGCAGCUGCACUCUGCCCCAGCGGCUCUUGUGAAAUCCAGCUGUGGUGAACGUGUGAGGACGGGGCUGGAGCACAGCUGGAUGAGCACUCACAGCUCACCUUUACAGCAGCUCUUUGGGGACUGGGGGAGAUCAUUUAAAUCCCCACAGAAUCACUUGUUCUUCUCUCCACAGAGCCUUGAAUAUGUCUGACAGCAACGGGCUGGGAUGCAGCAAGGAGGAAACGGAGGAUAAACACUGCUGGCUCUCAUAUCCACAAGAACAGGGAAUGUGUUUUGUUGGGUUUUUAUCUUCUUUUCUGUUAGAGUUGGGAUUAAAUGCUCAAGAGACGAUUUUUCAUAUUUGGA